rnacentral:rRNA from 1 species
GAGGGAAGUGCCUCGCAAGAGGAGCUUGGAGACAGGUGCUGCAUGGCUGUCGUCAGCUCGUGUCGUGAGAUGUUGGGUUAAGUCCCGCAACGAGCGCAACCCUUGUCUUUAGUUGCCAUCAUUAGUUGGGCACUCUAAAGAGACUGCCGGUGUCAAACCGGAGGAAGGUGGGGAUGACGUCAAGUCCUCAUGGCCUUUAUGGCCUGGGCUACAAACGUGAUACAAUGGCUGAAACAAAGGGCAGCGAAGGAGCGAUCUGGAGCGAAACCCAAAAAAGCAGUCUCAGUUCGGAUUGAAGUCUGCAACUCGACUUCAUGAAGUCGGAAUCGCUAGUAAUCGCGGAUCAGAACGCCGCGGUGAAUACGUUCCCAGGCCUU